UACAGGGGGGGGCAAGCGUUGUUCGGAAUUACUGGGCGUAAAGGGCCAGUAGGCGGCCAACUAAGUCCGACGUGAAAUCCCCAGGCUUAACCUGGGAACUGCGUCGGAUACUGGAUGGCUUGAAUUCGGGAGAGGGAUGCAGAAUUCCAGGUGUAGCGGUGAAAUGCGUAGAUAUCCGGAGGAACACCGGUGGCGAAGGCGGCUUCCUGGACCGACACUGACGCUGAGGCGCGAAAGCUAGGGGAGCAAACGGG
rnacentral:rRNA from 1 species